rnacentral:rRNA from 1 species
GACGAACGCUGGCGGCGUGCUUAACACAUGCAAGUCGAACGGAAAGGCCCUGCUUUUGUGGGGUGCUCGAGUGGCGAACGGGUGAGUAACACGUGAGUAACCUGCCCUUGACUUUGGGAUAACUUCAGGAAACUGGGGCAAACACCGGAUAGGAGCUCCUGCUGCAUGGUGGGGGUUGGAAAGUUUCGGCGGUUGGGGAUGGACUCGCGGCUUAUCAGCUUGUUGGUGGGGUAGUGGCUUACCAAGGCUUUGACGGGUAGCCGGCCUGAGAGGGUGACCGGCCACAUUGGGACUGAGAUACGGCCCAGACUCCUACGGGAGGCAGCAGUGGGGAAUAUUGCACAAUGGGCGGAAGCCUGAUGCAGCAACGCCGCGUGCGGGAUGACGGCCUUCGGGUUGUAAACCGCUUUCGCCUGUGACGAAGCGUGAGUGACGGUAAUGGGUAAAGAAGCACCGGCUAACUACGUG